rnacentral:rRNA from 1 species
CCUACGGGAGGCAGCAGUGGGGAAUAUUGCACAAUGGGGGAAACCCUGAUGCAGCGACGCCGCGUGAGUGAAGAAGUAUUUCGGUAUGUAAAGCUCUAUCAGCAGGGAAGAAAAUGACGGUACCUGACUCAGAAGCCCCGGCUAACUACGUGCCAGCUGCCGCGGGACUAUGUAGGGGGCAAGAGUUAUCCGGAUGUACGGGGUGUAAAGGGAGCGUAGACGGCCAGACAAGUCAGAAGUGAAAGCCCAGGGCUCAACCCUGGGACUGCUUUUGAAACUGCCGGGCUGGAGUGCAGGAGAGGUAGGCGGAAUGCGUGGUGUAGCGGUGAAAUGCGUAGAUAUUAGGAGGAACACCAGUGGCGAAGGCAGCUUACUGGACAGUAACUGACGUUGAGGCUCGAAAGCGUGGGGAGCAAACAGGAUUAGAUACCCGAGUAGUC